rnacentral:tRNA from 1 species
GGAGGAUUGGCCGAGUGGUAAGGCACUGGCUUGGUUCAAGCCAUGGUCGGGCCUGGAAAGCCCGCGCACGUUCGAUCCGUGCAUCCUCCGCCG